rnacentral:misc_RNA from 1 species
AAAGUCGUAACAAGGUUUCCGUAGGUGAACCUGCGGAAGGAUCAUUAACACGUAUCCACGUAUCAACCCCUCUGUGCAAACCUAUUUUCGAAAGGCUAGGUUGGAGUGCUUCUGCUCGCAUGGGUCCUAAUGAUGGGAGCUUCGGCUCAGGGCUCGAGCAGUUGCGCGUUUGACAAUCUGCCGCUACUUUUCCAUCGUUGGCCCCUUUUUAUCUACCUUUUAACCCCUUGUACUUCUUUUGUACUGAACCAAUUCUUCGAUGCUCUCUCUGAGAGCGACGAAAGAUAUUACGAAACUUAAGAACAACUCUUAGCAACGGAUAUCUUGGUUCCC